rnacentral:rRNA from 1 species
UACGGAGGGUGCAAGCGUUAUCCGGAUUCACUGGGUUUAAAGGGUGCGUAGGUGGGCAGGUAAGUCAGUGGUGAAAUCCCCGAGCUUAACUUGGGAACUGCCAUUGAUACUAUUUGUCUUGAAUACUGUGGAGGUUAGCGGAAUAUGUCAUGUAGCGGUGAAAUGCUUAGAUAUGACAUAGAACAUCAAUUGCGAAGGCAGCUGGCUACACAAAUAUUGACACUGAUGCACGAAAAGCGUGGGGAUCAAACAGG